AGACGUGGACUGGAACACCUGAG
rnacentral:miRNA from 1 species